rnacentral:rRNA from 1 species
GACGAACGCUGGCGGCGCGCCUAACACAUGCAAGUCGAACGGAAUCAAGAGGAGCUUGCUUUUCUUGAUUUAGUGGCGAACGGGUGAGUAACGCGUGAGUAACCUGCCCUGGAGUGGGGGACAACAGUUGGAAACGACUGCUAAUACCGCAUAAGCCCACGGUACCGCAUGGUACUGAGGGAAAAGGAUUUAUUCACUUCAGGAUGGACUCGCGUCCAAUUAGCUAGUUGGUGAGGUAACGGCCCACCAAGGCGACGAUUGGUAGCCGGACUGAGAGGUUGAACGGCCACAUUGGGACUGAGACACGGCCCAGACUCCUACGGGAGGCAGCAGUGGGGGAUAUUGCACAAUGGGGGAAACCCUGAUGCAGCGACGCCGCGUGGAGGAAGAAGGUUUUCGGAUUGUAAACUCCUGUCGUUAGGGACGAUAAUGACGGUACCUAACAAGAAAGCACCGGCUAACUACGUGCCAGCAGCCGCCGUAA